AAGUCGUAACAAGGUUUCCGUAGGUGAACCUGCGGAAGGAUCAUUACAAGAAACGAGGCCGCGUGCGCUCGCCCGCCCGGCCCCGCUCCUUACCUUGCCUACUGCACCGUUUGUUGCUUCCUGGCGGCGGACUGCCCGCCGCCAGGGACGUUGAUACAACCCUGUAUAGAAGCAUUGAAGCUCUGAGAAAACGCGAAAUCAUACAACUUUCAACAAUGGAUCUCUUGGUUCUG
rnacentral:misc_RNA from 1 species